rnacentral:rRNA from 1 species
UACGUAGGGGGCCGAGCGUUGUCCGGAGUUAUUGGGCGUAAAGCGCGCGCAGGCGGCCUCGCGCGCCCGACGUGAAAGCCCCCGGCUUAACCGGGAAGAGUCGUUGGGGACGGCGGGGCUUGAGGGCGGGAGAGGUCGGUGGAAUUCCCGGUGUAGUGGUGAAAUGCGUAGAGAUCGGGAGGAACACCUGUGGCGAAGGCGGCCGACUGGGCCGACCCUGACGCUGAGGUGCGAAAGCGUGGGGAGCAAACAGG